rnacentral:rRNA from 1 species
AUUGAACGCUGGCGGCAGGCCUAACACAUGCAAGUCGAACGGUAGCACAGAGAGCUUGCUCUCGGGUGACGAGUAGCGGACGGGUGAGUAAUGUCUGGGAAACUGCCCGAUGGAGGGGGAUAACUACUGGAAACGGUAGCUAAUACCGCAUAACGUCGCAAGACCAAAGUGGGGGACCUUCGGGCCUCACACCAUCGGAUGUGCCCAGAUGGGAUUAGCUAGUAGGUGGGGUAAUGGCUCACCUAGGCGACGAUCCCUAGCUGGUCUGAGAGGAUGAAGAGCCACACGGGAACUGAAACACGGACCAGACUCCUACGGGAGGCAGCAGUGGGGAAUAUUGCACAAGGGGCGCAAGCCUGAUGCAGCCAUGCCGCGUGUAUGAAGAAGGCCUUCGGGUUGUAAAGUACUUUCAGCGGGGAGGAAGGCGGUGAAGUUAAUAACUUCACCGAUUGACGUUACCCGCAGAAGAAGCACCGGCUAACUCCGUGCCAGCCGCCGCAGUAA